rnacentral:rRNA from 1 species
UGGGGAAUAUUGCGCAAUGGGGGAAACCCUGACGCAGCAACGCCGCGUGAAGGAAGAAGGUCUUCGGAUCGUAAACUUUUGUCUUCGGGGACGAUAAUGACGGUACCCGAGGAGGAAGCCACGGCUAACUACGUGCCAGCAGCCGCGGUAAUACGUAGGUGGCAAGCGUUGUCCGGAUUUACUGGGUGUAAAGGGUGCGUAGGCGGGCAAAUAAGUCCGAUGUGAAAUACCGCAGCUUAACUGCGGGGCUGCAUUGGAAACUAUUUGUCUUGAGUGCAGGAGAGGUAAGCGGAAUUCCUAGUGUAGCGGUGAAAUGCAUAGAUAUUAGGAGGAACACCAGUGGCGAAGGCGGCUUACUGGACUGCAACUGACGCUGAGGCACGAAAGCGUGGGGAUCAAACA